rnacentral:rRNA from 1 species
UACGUAGGGUGCAAGCGUUAUCCGGAAUUAUUGGGCGUAAAGAGCUCGUAGGCGGUUUGUCGCGUCUGCUGUGAAAACUGGAGGCUCAACCUCCAGCCUGCAGUGGGUACGGGCAGACUAGAGUGCGGUAGGGGAGAUUGGAAUUCCUGGUGUAGCGGUGGAAUGCGCAGAUAUCGGAAGGAACACCAGUGGCGAAAGCGGCUUCCUGGUCCGACACCGACGUUCAGGCACGAAAGCGUGGGGAGCAAACAGG